GUGCUUUCAACCUCGAACGUGCAAACUCCAGACAACAAGUAGUAAGUUCAAGUACAUUACCUUAAAAUAAGCAAAACUAAAAAGAGCCAUAUGAAAGUGCAGCUUCAGGAAAUAUAUA